ACAUGUCUAUAUGAUUGUUAUAUAAAGUCUAGCCUGCCCACUGAUUUGUUUUAAAGGGCCGCGGUAUAUUGACCGUGCGAAGGUAGCAUAAUCAUUAGUCUUUUAAUUGGAGGCUUGUAUGAAUGGUUGGACAAAAAGUAAGCUGUCUCGGUUAUAAUAAUUGAACUUAACUUUUAAGUGAAAAGGCUUAAAUGUUUCAGGGGGACGAUAAGACCCUAUAAAGCUUGACAAUAAUUUCGUUAUAUUAUAAAUUGUUAGUAUAACUUGAUUUUAACGGGAGUUUGUUUCGUUGGGGCGACGGGAAUAUAAUAAAUAACUGUUCUUUUAAAUAUAAUUACAAAAAUACUUGGUAAAUAAUUGAUCCUCUAUUAGAGAUUAAAAGAUUAAGUUACUUUAGGGAUAACAGCGUAAUCUUCUUUGAGAGUCCACAUCGACAAGAAGGUUUGCGACCUCGAUGUUGAAUUAAGGUAUCCUUAUAAUGCAGCAGUUAUAAAGGAGGGUCUGUUCGACCUUUAAAUCCUUACAUGAUCUGG
rnacentral:rRNA from 1 species